UAAUAGCGUAUAUUAAAGUUGUUGCAGUUAAAAAGCUCGUAGUCGGAUGUCGGGCUCGGAGAGGCUGUCGGCCUUUGGUCGGACGGCAACUCCGGGCCUUUCUGCCUGGGGAUCCUACUCUGCUUAACCGCAGGGUAGUGGGACGCAGGCCGUUUACUUUGAAAAAAUUAGAGUGUUCAAAGCAGGCCUACGCUUGAAUACAUUAGCAUGGAAUAAUGGAAUAGGACUUUGGUCUUAUUUGUUGGUUUAUGGGACCGAAGUAAUGAUUAACAGGGACAGUUGGGGCCGUUUAUAUUUCGUUGUCAGAGGUGAAAUUCUUGGAUUUACGAAAGAUAAACUUCUGCGAAAGCAUUCGGCAAGGAUGUUUNCAUUG
rnacentral:rRNA from 1 species